UACGUAGGGUGCAAGCGUUGUCCGGAAUUAUUGGGCGUAAAGAGCUCGUAGGCGGUUUGUCGCGUCUGCUGUGAAAACUCGGGGCUUAACUCCGGGCCUGCAGUGGGUACGGGCAGACUAGAGUGCGGUAGGGGAGACUGGAAUUCCUGGUGUAGCGGUGAAAUGCGCAGAUAUCAGGAGGAACACCGGUGGCGAAGGCGGCGCUCUGGACCGAGACUGACGCUGAGGCGCGAAAGCGUGGGGAGCAAACAGG
rnacentral:rRNA from 1 species